UACGUAGGGUGCAAGCGUUGUCCGGAAUUAUUGGGCGUAAAGAGCUCGUAGGCGGUCUGUCGCGUCGGCUGUGAAAACCCGGGGCUCAACCCCGGGCCUGCAGUCGAUACGGGCAGACUAGAGUGCGGUAGGGGAGACUGGAAUUCCUGGUGUAGCGGUGAAAUGCGCAGAUAUCAGGAGGAACACCGGUGGCGAAGGCGGAUCUCUGGGCCAUUACUGACGCUGAGGAACGAAAGCGUGGGGAGCGAACAGG
rnacentral:rRNA from 1 species